GCCAGUGUGGUGUAGUGGUUAGAUCACUGGAUUAUGUUUCUGGAGACCAAGGUUUGAAUCCCUGCUUAGGUG